UUUUGGAGAUCGGAAAUUGAUUUCUGGUGCGUUCGUCAGCAAAAUCCGUCGACGGAACGUGUUUUCGGUUCGGAAUUAUUCCGAAGGUGCCUUGUGAUAUUUUGUGUCAACCACGUCAUUUCGAGGGUUCAGAAACGACGGGUGAGCGACGGUGGGUUCCGGUGUCGAACGGGACACUUCCGGGAACUCGGAUUGGAACGAUUAUUCGACGAUAAUCGUUUAGAUGUGAGAUAGUGUUUUUGCUGCGAAGUCACACGAAUAUAAGUGUUUAGUGGCAGCGGGUGACUCAAAGCACGAGUCGGUGAGUUGCGGGACAGUUCGUGGGUGCCGGUGAAGUCUCGGUGCGAUUUUCGGGACUUCCGGCGUGUUCGGCAAUCGAUUUUAGGAAACCGAUUCCCGUAGGGUUAUUGGUGGGGUUUGUGAGUUAGUGAUUCGUGUUGUGGGUUGG
rnacentral:lncRNA from 1 species